CCAGGGAGCCCGUCUCAGCGU
rnacentral:miRNA from 1 species